CCUACGGGCGGCUGCAGUGGGAAUAUUGGACAAUGGGCGAAAGCCUGAUCCAGCCAUGCCGCGUGUGUGAAGAAGGCCUUCGGGUUGUAAAGCACUUUCAGUGGGGAAGAAAGCCUUGGGGCUAAUACCCUCGAGGAAGGACAUCACCCACAGAAGAAGCACCGGCUAACUCCGUGCCAGCAGCCGCGGUAAUACGGAGGGUGCGAGCGUUAAUCGGAAUUACUGGGCGUAAAGCGCGCGUAGGCGGUCUGAUAAGCCGGUUGUGAAAGCCCCGGGCUCAACCUGGGAACGGCAUCCGGAACUGUCAGGCUAGAGUGCAGGAGAGGAAGGUAGAAUUCCCGGUGUAGCGGUGAAAUGCGUAGAGAUCGGGAGGAAUACCAGUGGCGAAGGCGGCCUUCUGGACUGACACUGACGCUGAGGUGCGAAAGCGUGGGUAGCAAACAGGAUUAGAUACCCCAGUAGUC
rnacentral:rRNA from 1 species